UUAAGACGGGAUCAUGUGUGGAGCCGCUUCAACGACAUGGACUUUGGCAUUAGUGUGAAGUUGCAGCGCAACGAGCAAAACUGGAACAGAACAUACAGAUGACAUAUUUGUAUUGUUAAACCAGCCUCUAACUUACUCCAUACAAUGUUAGGGCACACACAGCCUGACUCAAGAAUUUGCUACUUUUGGCAACCCGAUCAAGGUUCUGGCAAAAGCCCUCUACGUGCGUGUCUUUGCAAUUCAUAUCACCGAAGCGCAACUGGUAUCUUCCUGGUGGCCACCUCCAAACUCAGUAGUAGUGGUCUCUCUGAUUUUACGCUUUCAA